UACGUAGGGGGCAAGCGUUGUCCGGAUUUAUUGGGCGUAAAGAGCGUGUAGGCGGCUUUGCAAGUCCGUUGUGAAAACUCGAGGCUCAACCUCGAGACGCCGGUGGAAACUGCAAAGCUAGAGUCCGGAAGAGGCGAGUGGAAUUCCUGGUGUAGCGGUGGAAUGCGCAGAUAUCAGGAGGAACACCAAUAGCGAAGGCAGCUCGCUGGGACGGUACUGACGCUGAGGCGCGAAAGCGUGGGGAGCGAACAGG
rnacentral:rRNA from 1 species